UGGGUUUUCUCUUUUCCUUCUUUCUUUUCCUCUGUUUUGGCUGAGAAAAACGGAAGAAUGAAAAACAGAGGAAAACAGAGAGGGGGCACGAGAGAGAAACAGAGAGAGAGAGAGAGAGAGACAGAAUGAGGGAGAGAAACGAUGAGAGGGAGAGAGAGAGAGGGAGGACAAGAGCAAGAGCAAGAGCUCGAAAGCACGGGAGGAAGGCACAGCUCGGCAUGCAUGAGUUCAAGGGAGAGGAAGAUGGAAAGGAACAAAUCGGGGAUCGUGGAGAUUGAAUUCUUGCACUCUGAAGGAUUGACUCAGUGAUUACUUUGACGAGUUCGCUCUUCCCCGACCGCAAGCACCACUGUGAAUCUAAUUGAAUCCGGUAACCGUCAGCCUUCUCUGCUCGUCUACCGCAGUUCAUCAUUCUCUAAUCGUCGUCCGCCUUCUCUACUCGUCCGUCAUCUAACCCUCUUCAUCUGAUGAGCUAGGAGCUAGAUUAGCAACACAUGAGAACUCUUUUGAUAUUGGGGAUCAGCUCGGAUGACUAGGUAUGAACCUUAGUUAUUUCAUAAGUAUUCUUUUUGUAUAGAAUGUAUUUGAAUAUGUUACGACCUGAAAUUUUUGUUUAGUUUGGUUUAGUGAUUGAUUGAGAAAAGAAAAUUACUCUCUUUUGAGACGUGUAUACAUAUUAGAGCUUACUAGAUUAGUUUUAUAUUUUUGGGAGUUUAUGAAAAGUCGGUUUUUUUUUUUGUAACUAGUGUAUGUGAUAAUGGAUAUCAAGUUAAUAUAGGGAAAACUCUAACAAAAUUUUCGGGUCGUGA